GACCACGUAGGGGGGUUUGUAAUUCAAAUGUGAAACCCUUUUGUUCAACGGGAGAAUGGCUUCGGAAACUCAUGAUCUGGAGUAUAGGAGGGGAGAAGGGAACUUCGGGGGGAGCGGUGAAAGGGGUAGAUAUCAGAAGGAACCCCGGCGGGGAAAGGGAUUUUUUGCCUUAUUACGGCCACGAAGUGUGGGAAAGUUAGGGGACCAAACGGGAUUAGAUACCCCGGUAGUCCUACCGGUAAAGGAUGGCCAUUAAGUAGAGGGGUUU
rnacentral:rRNA from 1 species